rnacentral:tRNA from 2 species
GGGAUAUGGCGAAAUUGGUA